AUGCCAUGAUGAGGGCACGCAGUAAUGUAAUCUUGGAGGUGUUCCCAUGCCUUCAAGAUGGACUCAUCAGUAUGUUGUUGGAAGCUUGAAAUCUUAUUCCAAAGGGC
rfam:Dichanthelium oligosanthes cultivar Kellogg 1175 unplaced genomic scaffold Do_version_2_scaffold98, whole genome shotgun sequence.